rnacentral:rRNA from 1 species
GACGAACGCUGUUGGCGUGCUUAACACAUGCAAGUCGAACGGUAAGGCUCCUUCGGGAGUACACGAGUGGCGAACGGGUGAGUAACACGUGAGCAACCUGCCCUUGACUUUGGGAUACCAGCUGGAAACAGCUGCUAAUACCGGAUACGACCCCUUUACGCAUGUUUUGGGGUGGAAAGCUCCGGCGGUCAGGGAUGGGCUCGCGGCCUAUCAGCUUGUUGGUGAGGUAAUGGCUCACCAAGGCUUCGACGGGUAGCCGGCCUGAGAGGGCGACCGGCCACACUGGGACUGAGAUACGGCCCAGACUCCUACGGGAGGCAGCAGUGGGGAAUAUUGCACAAUGGGCGCAAGCCUGAUGCAGCAACGCCGCGUGCGGGAUGACGGCCUUCGGGUUGUAAACCGCUUUCAGUAGGGACGAAGCUAACGUGACGGUACCUACAGAAGAAGGACCGGCUAACUACGUGCCAGCAGCCGCGGUGAUACGUAGGGUCCGAGCGUUGUCCGGAAUUAUUGGGCGUAAAGGGCUUGUAGGCGGUCCGUCGCGUCAGGAGUGAAAACUCGGGGCUUAACCCCCGAGCCUGCUUUUGAUACGGGCGGACUAGAGGGAUGCAGGGGGAGAACGGAAUUCCUGGUGGAGCGGUGGAAUGCGCAGAUAUCAGGAGGAACACCGGUGGCGAAGGCGGUUCUCUGGGCAUUACCUGACGCUGAGAAGCGAAAGCGUGGGGAGCAAACAGGCUUAGAUACCCUGGUAGUCCACGCCGUAAACGGCGGGCACUAGGUGUGGGGGACAUUCCACGUUCUCCGUGCCGAAGCUAACGCAUUAAGUGCCCCGCCUGGGGAGUACGGCCGCAAGGCUAAAACUCAAAGGAAUUGACGGGGGCCCGCACAAGCGGCGGAGCAUGCGGAUUAAUUCGAUGCAACGCGAAGAACCUUACCUGGGUUUGACAUACACCGGAAAGCUGCAGAGAUGUAGCCCCCGCAAGGUCGGUUUACAGGUGGUGCAUGGCUGUCGUCAGCUCGUGUCGUGAGAUGUUGGGUUAAGUCCCGCAACGAGCGCAACCCUCGUCCUAUGUUGCCAGCACGUCAUGGUGGGGACUCAUAGGAGACUGCCGGGGUCAACUCGGAGGAAGGUGGGGAUGACGUCAAGUCAUCAUGCCCCUUAAGUCCAGGGCUUCACGCAUGCUACAAUGGCCGGUACAAAGGGCUGCGAUACCGCAAGGUGGAGCGAAUCCCAAAAAGCCGGUCUCAGUUCGGAUUGGGGUCUGCAACUCGACCCCAUGAAGUCGGAGUCGCUAGUAAUCGCAGAUCAGCAACGCUGCGGUGAAUACGUUCCCGGGCCU